rnacentral:rRNA from 1 species
GAUGAACGCUGGCGGCGUGCCUAAUACAUGCAAGUCGAGCGAACGGACGAGAAGCUUGCUUCUCUGAUGUUAGCGGCGGACGGGUGAGUAACACGUGGAUAACCUACCUAUAAGACUGGGAUAACUUCGGGAAACCGGAGCUAAUACCGGAUAAUAUUUUGAACCGCAUGGUUCAAAAGUGAAAGACGGUCUUGCUGUCACUUAUAGAUGGAUCCGCGCUGCAUUAGCUAGUUGGUAAGGUAACGGCUUACCAAGGCAACGAUGCAUAGCCGACCUGAGAGGGUGAUCGGCCACACUGGAACUGAGACACGGUCCAGACUCCUACGGGAGGCAGCAGUAGGGAAUCUUCCGCAAUGGGCGAAAGCCUGACGGAGCAACGCCGCGUGAGUGAUGAAGGUCUUCGGAUCGUAAAACUCUGUUAUCAGGGAAGAACAUAUAUGUAAGUAACUGUGCACCUCUUGACGGUACCUAAUCAGAAAGCCAUGGCUAACUACGUGCCAGCAGCCGCGGUUAUACGUAGGUGGCAAGCGUUUUCCGGGAUUAUUGGGCGUAAAGCGCGCGUACGCGGUUUUUUAGUCUGAUGUGAAAGCCCACGGCUCAACCGUGGAGGGUCAUUGGAAACUGGAAAACUUGAGUGCAGAAGAGGAGAGUGGAAUUCCAUGUGUAGCGGUGAAAUGCGCAGAGAUAUGGAGGAACACCAGUGGCGAAGGCGACUUUCUGGUCUGUAACUGACGCUGAUGUGCGAAAGCGUGGGGAUCAAACAGGAUUAGAUACCCUGGUAGUCCACGCCGUAAACGAUGAGUGCUAAGUGUUAGGGGGUUUCCGCCCCUUAGUGCUGCAGCUAACGCAUUAAGCACUCCGCCUGGGGAGUACGACCGCAAGGUUGAAACUCAAAGGAAUUGACGGGGACCCGCACAAGCGGUGGAGCAUGUGGUUUAAUUCGAAGCAACGCGAAGAACCUUACCAAAUCUUGACAUCCUUUGACAACUCUAGAGAUAGAGCUUUCCCCUUCGGGGGACAAAGUGACAGGUGGUGCAUGGUUGUCGUCAGCUCGUGUCGUGAGAUGUUGGGUUAAGUCCCGCAACGAGCGCAACCCUUAAGCUUAGUUGCCAUCAUUAAGUUGGGCACUCUAAGUUGACUGCCGGUGACAAACCGGAGGAAGGUGGGGAUGACGUCAAAUCAUCAUGCCCCUUAUGAUUUGGGCUACACACGUGCUACAAUGGACAAUACAAAGGGCAGCGAAACCGCGAGGUCAAGCAAAUCCCAUAAAGUUGUUCUCAGUUCGGAUUGUAGUCUGCAACUCGACUACAUGAAGCUGGAAUCGCUAGUAAUCGUAGAUCAGCAUGCUACGGUGAAUACGUUCCCGGGUCU